rnacentral:rRNA from 1 species
AUACGGAGGACGCGAGCGUUAUCCGGAUUCAUUGGGUUUAAAGGGUGCGCAGGCGGCCGUGCAAGUCAGCGGUGAAAGCCCGGGGCUCAACCCCGGAAGUGCCGUUGAUACUGCAUGGCUGGAAUGCGGUCGAGGCGGGCGGGACGUGGCGUGUAGGGGGGAAGUGCGUAGAUAUGCCACAGAACGCCGAUAGCGGAGGCGGCUCGCCAGGCCUGCAUGGACGCUCGGGCACGAAAGCGUGGGGAUCGAACAGGAUUAGAUACCCUGGUAGUCCACGCCGUAAACGAUGGGCGCUCGUCGUCGGCGGCAGACAGUCGGCGGCCAAGCGAAAGCGAUAAGCGCCCCACCUGGGGAGUACGGUCGCAAGGCUGAAACUCAAAUGAAUUGACGGGG